CCUCCCGCCCGGGCCCCGGGGCCACGCCCCCGCAGGCGCACGAGGCCUCCAGGAUCUGUUUGCACAGUUGGGGCGCUUGCCUCCGCACCCCACCUCCGGAAGAAAAGCACCACGAGGUCAUCUGUUUACUCUGGGAUUAGCGGCUCCCAGCGGGAGCUCUUUUCCUCGGAGAUGAAAAGAAAGCGGACAAUCUGUCAGGUUGCCCUAGGGAUCUGUUUUUAAUUGGAUUCAACUGGAUAAACGUGGUCCAAAGACUUUUCUGUGACGUGGAUCCCCCUGGACCCUGCUCCCACAUUGGUGCCUACCACCUUACGAGGCAGCUAAUUCCAUCGGCCGAUAUUUCUGACUUCUAGAAAGUGCUGCACCUAACCAGACAUUUGCCCAUCUUUCUGUAGCUUCUACCUGUGAGCCAUAUUCUGGCCACCCAGCGCUGUGCGUCCCCUAAGACUCAAACCGUUCGGUAUGUGUUAAAUCAGGUCCCAAAAAUCCGGCCCAGCCAAAAGCCUCACCCAGGGCAGACGGGACUGGCUGGGACUGGAACUGGAGAACGACAUCACACCAGUUCUUGGACCACAUCCAAAGCCAGCCGCGCGGCAGAGACAUGAGGUUUGCUGAACGUACGUUAUUUGCUACCAUCAUUUCUCAGGAAUGGUAUCCAAGGGCCAAACAAAGCCAUUUUUCUCUGAAGUGGCUUAAUUGCUUUGUAGGGGAAAGGGUGGUUCUAACUCUGAAUCCAACUGGGCACUUCAAACUCAUAAGCCCCUCAGAAAAUCUGAUGUCAGCUGAUUGCUUGCUCCUUCUUCCUCGUAUUGCAGGUCACGUGGUCCUCACCUGCUGCCUGAACUGGGCCCAAUAGGGGUCACAGCCAAGAGGACUUAGAUCAGAUCUGGCUCUGCGUGUGGUCCUUGGGGUCAGAUAAUGGGCCAGCACUCGGACUUCUGGUGAGGUUUUGGGUCCUUCUAAGACAAAGCCAGAAGAGCUUGGGCUCCAAAGUCAGGCCACUGGGCUCCUGGUCCUGGCCCUGCCACUCACCACCUGCGUGACCUUAUGCAGAUUACUUAACUUCCCCAAGCCUCUAUUUCCUCGUCUGUGAAUUGGCACCAAUAAGUCCUACCUUUGAAGAACUGGGAAGACUCAGUGAGACCACCCCGAAGGCCCGGAGCACAGAAGACCCACAGAACUGCCACUCCCCUUCCCAGAGCUUCAUAAAGCAGUGCUGUGCUUUCCACCUGCUGGAAGCUGUUAUGUGUGUGUCGGGAAAUGCGGGAGCAUGAACACACCCCAAGAGGACCCAGGAGAAAGGAGCAGGACCGAACUGAAGGCUAGAGCCUGGGGAAGCCGGUUUGGGGGGAAGGAGGAAGAAGGAGCUUCGCUGCUGUGCACUUGACCUUUCAAGAGUUUUUAAGAACCUUCCAGAGACUUCAGGGGGAGAAUCUGAACUCUUGCCUGAGGAGAAGGCUCAGAAUGAGUGGCCAAAAGAGUGGGCACGUGAAUCACCGAAGAUGUAUGCCACCGAGGAUGGGCAGAGACGGCCUGGGAGACCCAGCAAGGUUUGGGGCCCUACAUGAGGACUGAUCAGGACCAACUGUGAUCAGCUCAGAGGUUCACUGUAAACAAGGGAGCCCCAGUCCAUGCCCCUGGGAGCUUGGGACUCCGAGGCGAAUUCCGUAGUCCGUCCUUGGUGAGUACCAGCAUUACCUGGAGAACCAGUACAAAUACAGCAGACCAAGCCUCCUGCUUCUGGAAAGAUGGGAGUAGAUGCACUUUCCCCUGUUUCACCUUCUAAGUACAACUAAAAACCUUGAACAUCACAUAUAAAACAAACAGAAGAGGACUCUGAAAAGUGGAGAGAAGGCCCACUGGCUAGGGGAUUGGGACCCGAAGAGCCACACAGUGGUGAAUUGGCUGCGUUUUAUUUUUUUUAAUUUUUCUUUUGCUUCAUAUACACCAGACUUGGACCAAAAGAGUUAACAACCCAGAAACACCAACAGACACGUACAAACAAAAAAUUGUCCCCACAAAAGCCUGCUCUCUGUAACCACAAGACCAAGAAAGGGGCAGUCUGUCAAGACAAAACUUUUUUUUUUUUUUAAACUGCGGUAAAAUCUACAUAACCAAAAAUUUACCGUCUUAACCAUUUUUUUACAAUUUGAUGGCAUGAAGCGUGUUCUCACUGCUGGGCAAACCCUACUGCCAUCUUUCCCCAGAGCUCUUUUCAUCUUGCAAAACUGGAACGCUGUCCCCACUAAACAGCUCCUCAUUCCUGCUGCCCUCAGCCCUGACCACUAUCAUCCCAUGUUCUGUCUCUCUGAAUUUGACAGCUAUAGGGAUCUUGCAUAAAUGGAAUCAUACGGUAUUUGUCUUUUUGUGACUGGUUUAUUUCACGUGGCAUAACAUCCUCAGGGUUCACCCGUGUGGUCGCAGGUGUCAAAACUGCCUUGCUUUUUAAGGCUGAAUACUAUUCCGUUGUGUGUGUGUGUGUGUGUGUGUGCGUGUGUGUGUGUGUGCGUGUGUGUGUGUGUAUACACCACAUUUUAUCUAUGCAUCUAUCAGUGGACACGCGGGGUGCACCCACAUUUUGGCUAUUGUAAAGAAUGCUGCUAUGAAUAUAGGUGUACAAAGA